AUGAGUUCUCCCUGAGACUUAGAGUCUCCUGAAGGAACGUUGAAGACGACGACGUUGAUAGGCCGGGUGUGUAAGCGCAGCGAUGCGUUGAGCUAACCGGUACUAAUGAACCGUGAGGCUUAACCUUACAACGCCGAAGCUGUU
rnacentral:rRNA from 1 species